UCAGGAGCGGGGCCGGGGCAGCGGGAGCGGGUCCGGGCUGUCAGGAGCGGGGCCGGGCUAUCAGGAGCGGGGCUCUCCCCGGCCGUGCCCGCGCUGCCCCGGGAGCUCCGUGCGGCUCCCCCAUGGAGGCGGGCGGCGGCUCGGGCGGCAGCCGGGACUCGCUGGGCAGCCUGACGGCGGGCGAGGUGCUGGUGCGCUCCACGGCGGCCCGCAGGGAGCAGCCCCCGGCCGGUAGCGGCGCCAGGAGGGGCCCGGGGCCGGGGCCGGUACCGGGGGCCGGGGCCGUGCAGAAGCUCCGUGCCGGCGGCUCGCCCUGCCCCGCGGAUGCGGCUGCGGACGGAGCUCCCCGGGCUCCGGGGGGCACCGGGACCGGCACCGCUGCAGGAGUCCUAAGCACCAAAGCAUAUCCAGAGUGUCUGCUUCCAGUUGAAAAUUCAGAGCCCAUGUUUUUAUCCCAAAUGGGUCCUCCAAAAGAAGCUGCAGCACAAGAUGAUCGUUUGGGGCUGCUGGAAAAUAGCAGAGGACCUGAAGAUGAUGUUUUUAUUUCCCAGUAUGCUACUGGCCAGAAGGAGGCUCUGAGAGCAGUGUUAAUGCAAAAAACUCAGGUUAUUCCUGUUCAUAAGGAGGUGAAGGUGCAGCUCUUGGGAAAUGCCUCCACAGAAAAAAGGGAAGGUGCUGGGAGUGACACCAGGACAGCAGCCAGGGAAGUUGAGUCUGCAACAACCAUUGCAGCAGCCACUGCUGCUGCCAUUGCCAGCACAGCUCCACUCCUCAAGGUUCAAAAUGAUUUGGAAGCAAAAGUGAACUCAGUUUCAGAAUUGCUUCAGAAACUGCAGGAUACAGACAGGCAGCUGCAACGAGUGUCUGAACAGCAAAAAAAUACAAAGGCUCAACAUGAGGAGCCCCACUACCAGCAGAGAGUCAGUGAGCUUGAAAAACAAAUGAAUGCCUUCAUGGUGCAGAGGAUUCAGCACCUGGAAAAGCUACAGGAGCAACAAAUGAAUAUUCAGUCCCAUCUCAUCAGCUCUGCAGUGAGCACCCGUGGCCUGCAGCAGGGUCCUGUGCCUGCCCCUGGGCCCCUGGCAGGGCACUGGGAGAAGCCAGAGCAGAGAUCACUCACUAAUGAAGCACCUUCAUCUCACAGGGGUUUAUUUCCUGCCAGUGCUGCAGCUGCCCAAGUGUUCCCUGAAGCAUAUUCAAGCAAUUUUCCAAGUCAUGGGGGUCUUACACAAAAAUCUCCUCUAAAGACACCAGUGCCUCGAAGAUAUGCUCCAGAACCUGUACCCAAAAAUGGGAAGAUCUCAGAGAAAGAAAACUCUGUAGUAGAAAAAGAAAAUACUCCCAAACCUACAAGAGAAGGUGAAGGGAAGGGUCUGGAACACGUUUUGAAUUCUCAAGAAACACAACUAAAGCAAAUGGAAUAUUCCAAGAAGACAGCAUUAAACAGCAAUGAAAGGAACUGGCAUGCUGACAGAGACAGACACAAUGCUUUGCCUGCAGACUUAUUUCCCUCUUUUGAAAGCUACAACUCAAUUGAGAAGACAGUGCAAAAAGCAGAUGAUUUACUUCAAGAUCUUGGAAAGCUGAGAAGAGAAAUGCACAACAUUCUGCAGGAAGCAAGUUCAUGGAAAUCUGACAUGACUGAUCUUAUUAAGACAAAAAAUCCUCCUGUUGUACCUGAUCCUCCUGAACAUCAUCCAGUCAGCAAACCAUCCAUCCUUCAAAAUGUCCAAGUGCCAAGGUCUAUUCUGACAGAUGCUGAAAGGAUUUUGAGAGGAGUGCAAAACAAUAAAAAAGUCCUUGAGGAGAAUCUGGAAGCUGUUACUCAAGCAAAAGAUGGAGAUGCCAUGUAUGCUUUCAGUAACUCCUUGAGUACAAACAGAGAUGUCCUGGAAGAGAUUCGUAUCCGAAGGACUGUGGAUGAGUGGAUCAAGGCAAUCAGUGAGGAAAUCCAGGUUGAAAUGGCAAGAAGUGAUUCAGAACAAGGGAAAUAUGAUCAAAAAGCCCCAUGGAACAAGAGAGCCCAAAACCUCAGGCCUGUGAAGAUCAAGAAAGAAACUAAAGAGAAAACUCAAAACAUCCCAGGAGGCUUGACAAAAAAGCCUUCACCUCCAGCUCAGCCAUUGCAGAAGCAGGUGGAAGAUAACACAAAGAAACAGAAGUUUAAAACUUACUUUUCUGAAAAUGUGCAGAGCAAAGAAGAAAAGGCAGACCAGGAAGCUGUAGGUGGAACUGCAGUUGUCCAAAGUGAAGAUUAUCUGUCUCAAGUUUAUGGGAAACCCAUUUACCACGGCCACCGGAGCACGCUUAAAAAAGGACCCUACCUGAGAUUCAACUCUCCCUCUCCCAAAUCUAAACUUCCCAGACCCAAGCUGAUAGAGACUGUUAGAGGCACAAAGGUGAAGUCAGCAAGGACCCAGACCUGCUCUCACACACAGAGGAUCAUCAGCAGCCCCAAGAAGAAGAAGAAUCCUGUGUGUGCCCCUGCCCAGCAGAGCCAGUACCUCUUCAGCCCCAGCCAGGAUGUCCCUGCUACCCCUGGUCCUCUGGAAGGCCACCUCAUCCCCAUGGCCAUUCCACUAGGUCAAACCCAAAGCAGCAACACAUCAUUGCAGCCUGCUUCAGUAAUCAUAGAUAAACCACACCCUGUCACAGUUACAACCUCCCUUCCUCCAGUGCCACCAAAGCCUCCAGUCGAGGUUAAAAAACCAAAUAUUGCUGUGAUAGAGAUGAAAUCAGAGAAAAAGGAACCACCUCAGCUCUCUGUGCAGGUGUUACCAAGUGUUGAUAUUGACAGUGUUUCAAGUGCCAGUGGGACUGUAAGUCCUGUUCCUCCAAGCUCUGAACCUCUGCUCUCUCCUGUCAAUGCUGUAAUACAGAAUCCAGAAGAAAUACACAGCGAAGAGGAAGACACAAAGCUUCCAGGAGCUAACUUCAUUGAUGUUACUGAUGUCACACAGGAUCAGGAAGAGGAGAAGGAUGAAAUUCCAGAAUUCCUUGAGCCUGUUGUGGAGCUCAGUGGCCAGUUUAAAGUUGCCUCUCCACAGCACAAUGGUCCUUUGUUUCCUCCAGUGGCUUCUGCUCCUCAGCAGCCUGCUGAUAUUUUGGAUGAACUGAUUCAAAAGAGAGAAACUAUAGAAAACAAGCUGGUAAAUUGGGUGGAACAAGAAAUAAUGGCAAAAAUUAUCAGUGAGAUGUGCCCAGCUCAGACAGAAACAGUGCCCAGCAUUAGCAGCUCCAUAAAGAGUGAAGACAGUGAGGCUGGAACCCCUGGCAUUGUUGAAGUUGCAGGUGGUGGAGGAUUCCAGCUCUUUGUCAAUGCUGGUGUCCCUGUGGACUCAGAAAUGAUAAAUCAUUUUGUGAAGGAAGCUCUCAGUGAAACCAUUGCAACCAUGCUGGGUGACAGCCAGGCUUGCAGAGCAGCUCCUGAUCCUCCUCCUCCUCCUCCCAGCACCACCUUAGUGAUGGAGGCUCCUGUGCCUACUCCAGUGCCAACACCCCAGGCCACACCACCACCAACACCACCUUCAGAAAAAGAACUGCCUCAGGUGAAAACUCCAGAUUCAUCUCCAUCUCCUCCAGAGAUGAGUGAGGAUGUUCAUGGACAUGAAAAAAUUAAAGAAACAGGAGCUGAGAUUGCAGCUGCCAUGGGCCGUGUUGUCACCCCUGUGGUCACCCCUGUGGUCACCCCUGUCACCACACCUCCCCCAGUAGCCACACCGAGCCCUCCUGCCUCAGAAUGGGACUUCCAGGCUGAAAAAAGGGAAAGUCCAAAGCUUCCAAACCCGUGGGAUGGUGCAGAACUUCCUCUGGAAGAAGAGAACCCCAGUCCUGUCCCUGAAGAGCCAUUCUGUCCUAAGACUGUGGAGAUGUCAGUGGCCAAUGAUGAGGAGCCAGAAGCCUUGGUUUGCCCAUCUCAGCAGCUGCCAGGGAGGCUCUGUGAGCCCCUGCCCUGCCCUGCCCAGGUGCCAUCCCCUGUGCCCACGGUGAGCUCUGGGGUGUCCACCCAGGAGAGCAGCCUCACCCCCCCAGGGACUAAGACCACGGACAGACCCCUUUCAGAAGGGGAGGUGCUCUUCCCCUAUGGACAGCCACUGCCUGCAGCAGCCUUAGCAGAAGGAGGAUUAUCUCUUCCAAGCCUUGCUGAGAGCUUAUCCAGUACUCUCCGAGAUGCCAAUGAGAUGGAUUAUGAUCCUCCAAGUGAAGGGCAGGUGGUGAGGAGAAUGGGUAAAGGCUGUCACAGGGAUCCUGUCCUGGCUCUUCUAACCAGAUUAAACCAAGCACCUGUUUUUGUACAAGAAAGAAUAGAGCAGUUGGAGGAUUCUGAUGGCAGCAUUGGGGAGCUCAGUGAAGGUCAGAGGCCAAGGCUGUCCAGAGCACAGGAGAGAAUCCUGAUGGGAAAUUCCAUUUUUAUGGAGCAUCCAGCUGCUCAGAGCUUUGGGAACAGACCACGCCAGGGGCUCCGUUCUGCAUCUCCAGGGCAGCUUGCCCAAAUUGGUGCAGAAAUUUUUGGAGAUGCAGAUACAAGUCCUAGUCCAAUGUUUUUGGCUGAACUGGAGUCACAGCCAGGUUCAAAUCUUCUGCCAGCAGCCCAGCCAGGCUGCAGAAUGACACCACUCCCAGAAGAUCUGUCCCAGGAGGAAAGCCAAGGAGCUGCACACGUUCAGGCUGUGAGACCCCGAGUUAUCUUUGUGAGAAGGAAAUCUGAGGAGAUGCAACAAGAAGGUUAAUAAAGGCAAAACUUCAGUCAUUGACUUCAAACCAGUCGGAGCUCAGGAACUGAAUUUAAAUCCCAGCUUGGAAGACAUCUCUCCAUCAGGGGUGAGAGCUACUGCCACAAAUCACUCUGUCCCUGCUUUUGUGUGUGGAUAUUUUGGUGCUCCCUGUGCUCUCUGCCAUUCAAGGACCUUCCAACUACCAGAGCAGUGUGGUUGCUGUAAUUUCUGUGUGGGGUUACUCCUCAUCCAGCGAGGAGAUGAGAUCAGCCUUGAUUCCAGCCUCAUUUCCCAGCCACUUUGCAGCUCCUCAGCAGCUUUGCCUGGAGCAGAGGAGUAUUUUUCAUCUCUGCUGAGUUUACACGAGGUGAAUUCUCAGAGCUGCCAGCGCCGGCGAACUUCCCAGGCAGCAGCAGAGACAUUCCUGCCUCUGAGUGAAAACCCAAGGCUGGAUUGGAUUUCUCUUGUUUCACUAAUUGGCUCAGCACUGUGGUUGGUAUUUAUGGCUUUUGUGCUGCUCCUGGAUUUCUCGCUCUGUCUGGUUUGUUGUGCUGCUCCUACGAAACACGGGAAUAUCAUGCUCUCUUUGGGAUAUGCCAACAACUCGAGGAGUGGACCAACUUCAGCUGCCCAGGCUCCCCUGCUUGCCAGGACCAGCAGCACUGGCACCCCACUUGGAAGGACACAGCAGGACUGCUCCCAAGGGACAUGGAUCGUGCCACUUUUGGAGCCUUAAGCCAGCCCUAAACCCCAGGCCUGGAUUAUUCCUGCAGGAAUCUUGUGUAAACCCUCCUCUGCUGAAGAGCUCAUUUCCCAUCCAGGCUGAAGUGGACAGAAGAGUGGAAAAAAAAUUCAGCUUUUGUGCUGCUGGAUCCAAGUCUCCGUCUGUGUUUAAGAGCUUGGCUACUAAAACCAGGGAUGGGGAAGCCUGGUUAACCCAUGCCUGGCAGCCAAAAUCUGCAUGUGGCUGUGCCUGUCCUGGCUCUGGGGGUGGGAAGACAGAGGUGCUCCAGACUUCUUUAUUUUUAGGUGCCAUCAGUACAGAUAAAAUCAGACUUUGCUGCUGAUUUAGAUGAAAUUUGACCAGCAACACCGUUCCCAGCCUAAUUUUAUACCUUUUUGACUCUCCCCUGUAUUCCUGCCCUUAAAAUGUUUUAUGGAUUAUGUAGCUCCUGCCAAAGGAUUUGAGUUUGAAACCUUACUGUAUUUUGGCCUGUAAAGAUGUUGAAUGAACAGUUUAAAACUCUGAGUCAUUAAAACUGUCUGGGAGAACCUAAUGAAUG